GGGCUGGCUUUAGCCCAGCGGUUCCUUCGAGUCUGGUUUCCCAACUGCCUGGACCAAUUGAUCCGGUGGUUUGAGACCUGUGGGAACUCUCCAGUCCUUUU
ensembl:misc_RNA Vault Vault RNA